CAGCCGCCGCGGGAAUACGUAGGGUGCAAGCGUUAAUCGGAAUUACUGGGCGUAAAGCGUGCGUAGGCGGUGAGUUAAGUCUGCUGUGAAAUCCCCGGGCUCAACCUGGGAAUGGCAGUGGAUACUGGCUCGCUAGAGUGUGUCAGAGGAUGGUGGAAUUCCCGGUGUAGCGGUGAAAUGCGUAGAGAUCGGGAGGAACAUCAGUGGCGAAGGCGGCCAUCUGGGACAACACUGACGCUGAGGCACGAAAGCGUGGGGAGCAAACAGGAUUAGAUACCCCAGUAGUCCCUGUCUCUUAUAC
rnacentral:rRNA from 1 species